CUUCAGGCUAUAAAUAAUAGAUUUAUAGCAUGCUCUCCUCUCAUCUGAGAUCGUGAAUAUGGGUUUCCGUAAUGGCCAUACAUCCAUAGUUAUAGAUUGCUCUUUCGAACCUGAACUUCGUUCACCCGAAUCAAUAAAUCACGUUAUUGUUGAAUUCCAUGUCGGAACGGAAAAACGCGGUUUUGUCUAUAAUCACGAGUGGAGAAUACCAGAAGUUGUUGAAGAAGAUGAACGACAUGAGAGUUCAAGCAUUAUUUGUCUUGAUCCAUCUGAGCCCUACGAGGAAUCACAGAAAUUUCUUAUGGCAGAAAUCGAAAGUUAUCAUAUACGACCUCUGGAACUUGAAGAAAGAUUUACUCAUCUUUUAAUCAUCCUCGCACGAAUCAAUGCCGAAACGCGCCGGAAGAUGACUCUUUCCGUGAGUAUAAUGAAGGUUUUAAAUUACAAUUUUGAUGAAAGUUCGCUGCUUCUGUGAGGUAAUUGAUUACGCUUGGAAGAGUUCUCUGUGAAAUCAGUUUACCUUUUGCCCCAUCUUUAUCAAAAUGAUUGAAUUUGGGGAUUUGGCGAAAUCGAAUCCAAUACUUCCCUAUUUUCCUCUUUGAGAUGCCUACAGAUGUCAAUUAGGUCUUUCUAGAGGAAUUUCUUAAAAUUUGUAUUUCUUUUUGAUAUUGUAGAGACGCAGUUCCUUUCAGAUUGUUUUCUGAUUUCUUAAUACCAUAACUUUGUUGCAAUUUUUGAAAGAUUUAGAACUAAAACAGUCCCUGAAUUUCUUUAAUUUGCUUUUAUAUAUUCUUCAUUUAAUCAGCGUAAUUUUCUCUCGGUUUGGCC
rnacentral:lncRNA from 1 species